CCUACGGGGUGCAACAGUGGGGGAUAUUGCACAAUGGGGGAAACCCUGAUGCAGCGACGCCGCGUGGGUGAAGAAGCGCCUCGGCGCGUAAAGCCCUGUCAGCAGGGAAGAAAAUGACGGUACCUGAAGAAGAAGCCCCGGCUAACUACGUGCCAGCAGCCGCGGUAAUACGUAGGGGGCAAGCGUUAUCCGGAUUUACUGGGUGUAAAGGGGGCGCAGACGGCGAUGCAAGCCAGGAGUGAAAGCCCGGGGCCCAACCCCGGGACUGCUCUUGGAACUGCGUGGCUAGAGUGCAGGAGGGGCAGGCGGAAUUCCUGGUGUAGCGGUGAAAUGCGUAGAUAUCAGGAGGAACACCGGUGGCGAAGGCGGCCUGCUGGACUGCAACUGACGUUGAGGCCCGAAAGCGUGGGGAGCAAACAGGAUUAGAUACCCCAGUAGUC
rnacentral:rRNA from 1 species